CAUAUUUACACUGUAUUCCAUUCCAGCGCGAUGACUCAGAAUUCAGAAGGUUGGUGCUUCAGCCACCCACAGCAGGUUUUCCAGGACACUGGAAGGGCUAAUGUCCUCUUGUUGACACUUGAAAAUGAAGCUGAUGGCCCCGCCCUGAUGAGAUGGGAAGGAAACAAGAGCCAACCCAGCUUUUUAACUUUGACUUCCGCUACAACUUAGCACUCUGCCUUGGAGCUGAUGAAAUCCCGCUACCUGGGGGAGCAGGAAAACUAGAAGACAGUCUUUUGGCAAACUAAGCUGAAACAAAACAUUCCCUGUGGCGAUUCAACCUAGCUCCGAUUCCCAGGUCCGAUUCAACCCCUAGCCUGGUUUUAAAUGGGAUAGUCAGGUUCCAAAGUACUGACAGCAAAAUUACAGCUUAAAUAGGUUUUGUGGUCUUAAGACAUAAUGACUUACCAUUUUUCACUUUGGGGACCAAACCCAUUUCCUUGUCAGGAAAUUCCUCAGCUGGAAGAUUUAGUGAGGCCAAAAGUUAAUGUUAACCAUUGAAGAGAUUUUGCUUUCACUUACCUGCCUGGCUUGUAUCACUUACCUGCCUGGCUUGUAUUCUUAGAUUUAUAUGUGCAUAGGUUUAUACAUGCCCUUUCUGAGGUAGGAACUCUUGAUAUUAAAAUAUAUUAUAUGACGGAGUUCCCAUAGUGGCACAACAGAAACGAAUCCAGCUAAGAUCCAUGACGACGCAGGUUCGAUCCACGGCCUUGCUCAGUGGGUUGGAGAUCCAGCUUCGCCAGGAGCUGUGCUGUAGGAGGCAGAUAUGGCUCGGAUCCCGCAUUGCUGUGGCUAUGGCAUAGGCCAGCAGCUGCAGCUCCGAUUCAACCCCUAGCCUGGGUGUGGCCCUAAAAAGCAAAAAAAAAAAAAAAAAAAAAAAAAAAAGGAUAUUUUAUGAGCUGUCGAGCCAUGAAAAGACCUGAAGGAAACUUAAAUGCAUAUUACUAACCAAAAGAAGCCCAUGUGACAAGGCUACAUACUGCAUGCUUCCCACUAAACAACAUCCUGGAAAAGGCAAAAUUAUGACAACAGUAAGUAUAUCACUGGUUGGCAGGAGUUAUAAAGGGAGGGGAGAUGAACAUGCAGAUCACAGAGAUUUUUUUAGGGCAGCAAAACUACCCUGUCUUGAUACUUGAACGGUGGGUCCACAUCAUUGCACAUUUGAACAAACCCAUAAUAUGCACAAGAGCAAGAGUGAACCCUAAUGUAAAAUGAGGACUUCGGGUGAUAACAGUAUGGCAAUGAGGUUCAUCAUUUGCAACAAAUGUAAGGCUGUGGUGGGGGAUGCUGCCUUGGUGGGGGGGUGGAUGCAGGUGUGAAAACACAGGGUAUGAGGGGAAUCUCUGUACUUUCUGCUUAAUAUCACUGUGAACCUAAAAGUGCUCUAAAAAAUAAAGUCUACUUUUAAAAAUAUUUGCUGUAUGUU
rnacentral:lncRNA from 1 species